GACGAACGCUGGCGGCGUGCUUAACACAUGCAAGUCGAACGGUGAGGCCCUUCGGGGUACACGAGUGGCGAACGGGUGAGUAACACGUGGGUGAUCUGCCCUGCACUUCGGGAUAAGCCUGGGAAACUGGGUCUAAUACCGGAUAGGACCACUGCCUGCAUGGGUGGUGGUGGAAAGCUUUUGCGGUGUGGGAUGGGCCCGCGGCCUAUCAGCUUGUUGGUGGGGUGAUGGCCUACCAAGGCGACGACGGGUAGCCGGCCUGAGAGGGUGACCGGCCACACUGGGACUGAGAUACGGCCCAGACUCCUACGGGAGGCAGCAGUGGGGAAUAUUGCACAAUGGGCGCAAGCCUGAUGCAGCGACGCCGCGUGAGGAAUGACGGCCUUCGGGUUGUAAACCUCUUUCAGCACCGACGAAGCGCAAGUGACGGUAGGUGCAGAAGAAGGACCGGCCAACUACGUGCCAGCCGCCGCAGUAA
rnacentral:rRNA from 1 species